CUCACAAUCGGUUCUAUUUAAUAAACAAUACGUUGUUACGAUAAAAAAGUUGAACUAGUUUCACUUGUUUGAGGGAUAGGCUCACAAUGUGUCAACUUUUAAUACCUACCCGACUACUUUGAUUAUAUUGACAUUUGUUCCCCAACCUCGUGUUGCUCAAUUAGUUCCAACCAGGAUGUGGGAGUAGCAUAAGAAGAACCGGCCGUUAACAGAUGCUAGAUCCUGUAAAGGGAGGAAGCCGUACUGUUUGAAACACAUGCAUGCCAAGAAUGGAGCAAAAGCAAAGUUGCUAUGACAUGGAAGCUGUUUUCGCCUAUACAUUAUCCAAGCGGGUCCACUAACCUACUGGGUCAUAGGAGAGAAGCCAUAUCCUGAAACUGAGAAGAAUAUUUGGGAAGGAAAAUGGUGUGUUUUUAUUAUCUGAGUCAGGAAAGGACAUUUAAAGGUGGUCAACACAUGAAAGGAACUGAAUAAUGAGGAUUAAUUAAAAGAGACGUGACAUUGUUUUGGAUGCAUUUUGGUACCACUAUUCCCAAGAAAGACAGCCCCAUUGAUAUGAGAUACAAAAGCAUCUUUCUCUUCUCAUGCCAGGUUUGUGUCUGCUUUUAAGAAAUUAUCAUUUUUAGCUGUAUCAAUGGCUCAACAGGUAGCACACUCACCUUCGAUGCUGGAAGAUAAAACAACUGAGGGUUCUAUUCCCACUCCAAGUAUUUAGAUUCAUCUUUCCAAUACUGACACUGUGUUGCAGAAUAAGAGGAAUUCUUGACUCCUGAGUGUACCAUCCUUUGAAUGAGACAUUAAAUUGACACUGUAUUUACCUGAGCUGGUGGUAGCUCAGGUUGAUGUAAAAGAGCCCAUGGUAGUUAUCAGAAAGAGAAGGGGAAUUUAUUUGAUGUCCAAUGCCAUCUUGGAUCUCCCAUGAAAAGAGGCUGCUAGCUUUGUGUGACUUAAUCCAGUCAAAAAAAGUGUAUAAUGAAUAACAAAAUUAAUUGUUCCAGAACAUCUAAAAGGUAAUGUGUAGUUCUUUAUUCUGUUCAUAUUUACUUAAUACCCAGUGUGAGUGCAUUUCUUGUCUAGAAUAAUUCCAUCACAUUUUCCUAUCUUAUAUGAACUCUGUGUAUGUAUUGCUGUCAUUCGAUGAUUCAAGGAAUGUGUAUGUAUAGUGUUUUACAAUGUAAAAUACUGAAGAUUCACAGUUUUGUCCCUUGUAGUUGUUUUGGUCAUUUUAUACAUCAAUAUUUUGCUGAAAGUGAUAAAAUAGUGAUUAGUUCUUAAUUCUAGCAGUUUCAGCUAGAACAGGUUUUUCACAGAGUUUGGUAUUAAUUUAACAAAUUGAUUAACUGGACCCAGUAAUAUUUGCAAACUUCUUUUUUUUCCAAGACAUCAUGGGGGGAUGCCUAGGCUAUGCUUAGGCAGCAUUAAGAUCCAUCAUUAAAUACAAUUUUUGUUCCAGAAGAUGUUAACUUUAUAUAAAACAAGACUUAAAAUGAUGUUAUUUGAUUACUUAGUAGUUUAACUGUGUGGGACUGUCAGCAGGAUAAAGGUUGAGGGUUAUCACUGCAAGUGCAAUAAUCAAUAGUCACUGUGUGUCGUUUAUUCCUUUGCAAUAUUUCUGAGUAAUAAAUGGCACAAUGCCAUAUUUUCCUUGCAGCAAAUAAAAUAAACCACUCAUACUGAGCUUUAGAUGAUAAGGAUAAGUUAUCCACCUAGGUUACAAGCAAGCUGGGUGACCUGUGCAAUCUUCUGGGUUUUACAGAG